CUGCUCACUUCAGCAACACCUAUCCUAAAACUGGAACGACACAGAGAUUAGCGUGGCCUCUGCACGAGGAUGACACAAAAAUUCAUGUAAGUGUUCUGUAGUUUU
rnacentral:snRNA from 1 species